GCAACUCGCGUAGAUUAAAGUUAAAUCUAGCAAUAUAGUACACUUGACACCGGAGUAAACCCCAGAUUAAACAAUGUACUAUGACUUCAGAAGAAUAUACAUUAAUCUGCCAUAUUGCAGGGAAAACAAAUCUGGAGCACAAAGUAGAGAGAAACACCUGUAACACACAUGCACGAUAUAACAUGACCUAAAUGUAAUAAAAUAUAGUUGUAUUUUCUAAUGGAACAAAAUAUGUAUCUGCGGAUGGUACUCAAGAUGCUUCUUUUUUUGCCUCUCAUUAUUAUUUUUGUUGGAGAAGAAGUUACAUUUGUUACGCACUAAAAGGCACCUGGUAGCAUAUCAUGUCAUCAGAUAAUCUUCUGGACUGUGUUCCUACUUCCUACUGCUUCACUGAUUUCUUGUAGUUGCUAGAAAAAUGAGAUUUGUCAAACGGAAGCUUCCUUCCGCCUGCCACUGACAUGCCACCGACGAUGUGUGAAUAUUACGUGAGCAGCUAGAACCUUUUUUUAUGGAUGAGACGAUGAGCAGCUACAAACUUGAUACUGUUAAUGGUAGUCUCAUUCUUCCAAAAAAAAUAGGAAAACAAACUCAUACAUUUCAACACAGCUCCUUCUUCACAUAAACUUCCAGUUUAAAUGAGAAUACUAUUAUUUUCGAUGAAGGGAGCUUUAUUACUUAAAAGGUUUAAGCAUUAUACCCGGCCCCUCUGCAUAAAUGAAAAUACUAAUAGCAACAAAAAAAACUUAAUAAGAAAACUCCGACAAUGUGGACCGAGAUUGACUUGGUAGUAGAUCAAAUCACACAUGUUCAAUCUUUGCUCAAUGAGAACUGAGGAACAACAACAACAACAACAACAAAGCCUUUAGUCCCAAACAAGUUGGGAUAGGCUAGAGGUGAAACCCAUAAGAUCUCGCAACCAACUCAUGGCUCUGGCACAUGGAUAGCAAGCUUCCACGCACCCCUGUCCAUAGCUAGCUCUUUGUCGAUACUCCAAUCCUUCAGGUCUCUCUUAACGGACUCCUCUCAUGUCAAAAUCGGUUGACCCCGCCCUCUCUUGACAUUCUCCGCACGCUUUAGCCGUCCGCUAUGCACUGGAGCUUGUGAAGGCCUGCGCUAAAUAUGCCCAAACCAUCUCAAACGAUGUUGGACAAGCUUCUCCUCAAUUGGUGCUACCCCAACUCUAUCUCGUAUAUCAUCAUUCCGGACUCGAUCCUUCCUCGUGUGGCCACACAUCCAUCUCAACAUACGCAUCUCCGCCACACCUAACUAUUGAACAUGUCGCCUUUUAGUCGGCCAACACUCCGCGCCAUACAACAUUGCGGGUCGAACCGCCGUCCUGUAGAACUUGCCUUUUAGCUUUUGUGGCACUCUCUUGUCACAGAGAAUGCCAGAAGCUUGGCGCCACUUCAUCCAUCCGGCUUUGAUUCGAUGGUUGACAUCUUCAUCAAUACCCCCAUCCUCCUGCAACAUUGACCCCAAAUACCGAAAGGUGUCCUUUCGAGGUACCACCUGGCCAUCAAGGCUAACCUCCUCCUCCUCACAGCUAGUAGUACUGAAACCGCACAUCAUGUACUCGGUUUUAGUUCUACUAAGCCUAAACCCUUUUGAUUCCAAGGUUUGUUUCCAUAACUCUAACUUCCUAUUUACCCCCGUCCGACUAUCGUCAACUAGCACCACAUCAUCCGCAAAGAGCAUACACCAUGGGAUAUCUCCUUGUAUACCCCUUGUGACCUCAUCCAUCACCAAUGCAAAAAGAUAAGGGCUCAAAGCUGACCCCUGGUGCAGUCCUAUCUUAAUCGGGAAGUCAUCGGUGUCGACAUCACUUGUUCGAACACUUGUCACAACAUUAUUAUACAUGUCCUUGAUGAGGGUAAUGUACUUUGCUGGGACUUUGUGUUUCUCCAAGGCCCUACCACAUGACAUUCCGCGGUAUCUUAUCAUAGGCCUUCUCCAAGUCAAUGAGAACUGAGGAACAACUUUGUAAAAAAAAACUACCCUACUCCACACUGAUCAUUGCAUGACAUCAAUAUUUCUCUUACAGAACUAAACUUAGACAGCCAUGUAAGCUCUAAGCAUUGUUCUUGAUUAAACGGACAAAACAUAAAGGAAUUGGAAGUCUCACCAUCAGUAUAUAAUGUUUCCACGCAAUAUUUUUGUCCGAACAACCACAAUCAAUAUCCAUUACAUCCACACUUGCCUCAAGAGGGAGAGUAGACCCGCCUGCACAAUAGAGACUAUAGAACAUUCACAUGAAGUGCUAAAAAAUGUAAUACCAAAAUUUAAUCUAAUGAGGAAGCAGAGCCCACCGCCGCAUCCAUGGAUGGCCACCAGGGGAGUCUCCAGCGCCGUGCGACAUCGACCUGCCGCAAGGGCCCGGACGGGCAACGGCACACGCAUCCACCCGCUNN
rnacentral:lncRNA from 1 species